rnacentral:rRNA from 1 species
UAGGGAAUCUUCGGCAAUGGGGGGAACCCUGACCGAGCAACGCCGCGUGAGUGAAGAAGGUUUUCGGAUCGUAAAGCUCUGUUGUUAAGGAAGAACGAGUGUGAGAAUGGAAAGUUCAUACUGUGACGGUACUUAACCAGAAAGGGACGGCUAACUACGUGCCAGCAGCCGCGGUAAUACGUAGGUCCCGAGCGUUGUCCGGAUUUAUUGGGCGUAAAGCGAGCGCAGGCGGUUAGAUAAGUCUGAUGUGAAAGCCCCCGGCUCAACCGGGGAGGGUCAUUGGAAACUGGUUGACUUGAGUGCAGAAGAGGAGAGUGGAAUUCCAUGUGUAGCGGUGAAAUGCGUAGAUAUAUGGGGGAACACCAGUGGCGAAGGCGACUCUCUGGUCUGUAACUGACGCUGAGGCUCGAAAGCGUGGGUAGCAAACAGG